AUGCUAUUAAUAUUAUGCUCCUUCUUUCACUCCUCUCAUGCUGCCAGAGAUACUAUAUCGCAAGGACAAUCUAUUACAAUUACGGAAACUAUAGUAUCAGCUGACGCAAAAUUUGAACUCGGAUUCUUUCGUCCUGGAAACUCCACAUAUCAAUACGUGGGAAUAUGGUUCAAAAAGGUAUCACAGCAAACUGUCACAUGGGUAGCCAACCGAAAUUACCAAAUUGUCAGUUCUUCUGCAGUUCUCACUAUUAGUAAUAGCGGGAACCUCGUGAUUGUGGACGAUCAGGUAUCUUACUCGGUAUCCAACAUCUCAUCUAAUGGCAAUGCAAGUGCCACGCUAUUGGAUUCGGGAAACCUUGUUUUAAGAGAUGAAAACUCAAAUAUCUUGUGGCAGAGCUUCGAUUUACCUUCCCAUAUCUUUUUACCUGGAAUGAAGCUUGGGCAUAAAAACAAUAGCGCAAAGACUUGGUCAUUGGUGUCUUGGAGAAAUCAUCAUGACCCUAGUCCUGGAGAUUUUUCACUGGAGCUCGAUCCUAAGGACAUAACUCAGUUUUUAAUCACACGGAAGCCUGACAGGUUGUAUUGGACAAGCGGGCCUUGGAAUGGGAAGAUCUUCAGCUUUGUUCCUGAAAUGAGAGCUGAUUAUAUAUAUAAUUUUAGCUAUACUUCCAAUCAGGAAGAGACUUAUUUUACAUAUAAUCUAUAUGAUCCUAGUAUAUCUAGUAUGCUUGUAAUGGACGAAUCGGGGCAGAUACAGCAACUGACUUGGCUGGAAUCCACCCAGCAGUGGAACUUAUUCUGGGCACAACCGAGCAUCCAAUGUGAAGUUUAUGCUUUUUGUGGGGCUUUUGGACUCUGUAACGAGCAUGCGUCGACAUUAUGUUCCUGCAUUCAAGGAUUUGAACCCCGAUCUUCUGGAAACUGGGAAAUGAAUGAUUACUCUGCAGGAUGUGCAAGGAAAACCCCUUUGCAAUGUGAGAACCAUAACCAGACUACAGGUGACCCAGAUGAGUUUGUUAUGUUGUCUAAUGUACAAGUACCAGUGAAUCCAGUAAGUUUUUUUGUAAGUGGGAGUGGGAGCAUUGAAGAGUGCAAAUCAGCUUGCUUGAAUAGCUGCUCCUGCUCUGGUUAUGCUCUCUAUGAUUCUAGAUGUUCAAUAUGGAAUGGCGAUCUCAUGAAUUUGCGACAGCUUGCUGAUUAUAACCAAACUGCAAGAGAUAUCUAUGUCAAAGUUGCUGCCUUGGUUAAAAAAAUACUGGACUCAAUAUAUGUAUCUUUUAUUUCUCUCAUGCUUGCUUCAGGAAGUAAGAGACAGCUGUGGAUUAUUUUAGUACUGGCUGUUUCUCUGACAGCCAUUUCUUCGGCGGCCUUCAUCCGGUGGAUGUGGGUGAGAAAACUCAAAAGAAAAGGGGAGGACUUGAUAUCGUUUGAUUUCAACAACAGGUCUACACAACAAGGAUUAGUCCUCAAGAAGGGGGCUGAGAAAGGCAGGAAUAAGGAAAUGGAGCUUCCUCUCUUUAGUUUUUCUAGUGUAUCUGCCGCUACUAAUAACUUCACAGCCUCGAAUAAACUUGGAGAGGGUGGUUUUGGACCUGUUUACAAAGGAUCCUUGCUUAAUGGACAGUUAGUAGCAGUAAAAAGACUUUCAAGAAAAUCUGGACAGGGAUGGGAGGAGCUAAAAAAUGAGGCUGUGCUUAUAGCCAAACUCCAACACAAGAAUCUUGUGAAACUUCUUGGAUGCUGCAUUGAAAGAGAUGAAAAGAUUUUGAUCUAUGAGUAUUUACCCAAUAAAAGCUUAGAUAAUUUCCUUUUCGAUCCAAGUGCACAUGGGUUGAUAGACUGGACAACUCGCAUUCACAUCAUUGAAGGGAUUGUUCAAGGGCUUCUUUACCUCCAUCAGUAUUCUAGGUUACAAAUUAUUCACAGAGAUUUGAAGGCCAGCAAUAUCUUGUUGGAUAAAGACAUGAAUCCAAAAAUAUCAGAUUUUGGAAUGGCAAGAAUUUUUGGUGGGAAUGGGUCACAAGCAACCAACCGAAUAGUUGGGACUUAUGGUUAUAUGUCUCCAGAAUAUGCUUUGGAAGGCCUCUUCUCGAUUAAAUCUGACAUCUUUAGUUUUGGAGUAUUGUUGUUAGAGAUAUUGAGUGGCAAGAAGAAUACUGGUUUCUAUCAUAGCGACUCUCUCAAUCUUAUUGGAUAUGCAUGGGAUUUGUGGAAAAGCAAUAGGGCCUUAGAAUUGAUGGAUUCAAUCCUUGGAGAUACUCCUCCUGCCAAUGUCCUAUUGGGAUACAUAAACAUAGCACUCCUCUGUGUCCAAGAAAGUGCAGCUGAUAGGCCUACUACGUCCGACGUGGUCUCAAUGUUCAACAAGGAAAUUGCACUUCUGCCUUCACCAAAACAACCAGCAUUUUCAUUUGUUAAUGGAGAAUUUGGAUUCAUCUAAUAGAAGACCAGAAAUUUUUUCUGUAUAUGACAUGACAGUCUCGAUUUUGGAAGCUCGGUAAAAAUUUAGAUUUUGGUGAUCAUUACUCAAUCGUUCAUCUUAUUAUCUAAGUAUGUUUUAAAUGAACAACAAUA